CCUACGGGGAGCAGCAGUGGGGAAUAUUGCACAAUGGGGGAAACCCUGAUGCAGCGACGCCGCGUGAGUGAAGAAGUAUCUCGGUACGUAAAGCUCUAUCAGCAGGGAAGAUAAUGACGGUACCUGACCAAGAAGCCACGGCUAACUACGUGCCAGCAGCCGCGGUAAUCCGUAGGGGGCAAGCGUUAACCGGAUUUACUGGGUUGAAAGGCGGCGUAGACGGCAGCACAAGUCUGGAGUGAAAUCCCGGGGCGUAACCCCGGAACUGCUGUGGAAACUGUGCGGCUGGAGUGCAGGAGGGGUAAGCGGAAUGCCUAGUGUAGCGGUGAAAUGCGUAGAUAUUAGGAGGAACACCGGUGGCGAAGGCGGCUUACUGGACUGUAACUGACGUUGAGGCUCGAAAGCGUGGGGAGCAAACAGGAUUAGAUACCCCUGUAGUC
rnacentral:rRNA from 1 species